rnacentral:rRNA from 1 species
GCAUAUCAAUAAGCGGAGGAAAAGAAACUAACAAGGAUUCCCUUAGUAACGGCGAGUGAAGAGGGAAGAGCUCAAAUUUUAAAUCUAUCAUGUUUGUACAUGAUCGAGUUGUAAUUUGAAGAAGCGUUUUCUCGUACUUUAUGCAAUCAGUAUAAGUUCUCUUGGAACAGGACAUCAUAGAGGGUGAUAAUCCCGUCUGUUACUGGUUGUGAGGUUCGUUAUGAUACGCUUUCAAAGAGUCGAGUUGUUUGGGAUUGCAGCUCCAAAUGGGUGGUAAACAUCACCUAAGGCUAAAUAUUUGCGAGAGACCGAUAGCGAACAAGUACCGUGAGGGAAAGAUGAAAAGAACUUUGAAAAGAGAGUUAAAAAGUAUGUGAAAUUGUUGAAAGGGAAACGAUUGAAGUCAGUCGUGCAGUCAUCAAUUCAGCGGUUAACAUUUUUAUGUUUCCGUGUAAUUUGGUGUCUGUUGGUUAGCAUCAAUUUUGAUUGUCAUAAAAAGGUUAAGGGGAUGUGGCUCCUUCGGGAGUGUUAUAACCCUUAGCGUAAUGUGACGAUUAGGAUUGAGGUUUGCAACGAAUACCUUUUAGGGCAGUUUCACCUGGCCUCUCGUGGAAUUAUAGAUAGUUAAGAGCAUGCUCUUACUGUUUAUGAUUCUACGAAAAGGUUGGAGUGUAAAACUAAUUCGUUAAGGAUGUUGACGUA